AGGAAAAGAAAUCAACCGAGAUUCCCCCAGUAGCGGCGAGCGAACGGGGAGGAGCCCAGAGCCUGAAUCAGUGUGUGUGUUAGUGGAAGCGUCUGGAAAGGCGCGCGAUACAGGGUGACAGCCCCGUACACAAAAAUGCACAUAUUGUGAGCUCGAUGAGUAGGGCGGGACACGUGGUAUCCUGUCUGAAUAUGGGGGGACCAUCCUCCAAGGCUAAAUACUCCUGACUGACCGAUAGUGAACCAGUACCGUGAGGGAAAGGCGAAAAGAACCCCGGCGAGGGGAGUGAAAAAGAACCUGAAACCGUGUACGUACAAGCAGUGGGAGCCUCUUAAUGGGGUGACUGCGUACCUUUUGUAUAAUGGGUCAGCGACUUAUAUUCUGUAGCAAGGUUAACCGAAUAGGGGAGCCGAAGGGAAACCGAGUCUUAACUGGGCGUUAAGUUGCAGGGUAUAGACCCGAAACCCGGUGAUCUAGCCAUGGGCAGGUUGAAGGUUGGGUAACACUAACUGGAGGACCGAACCGACUAAUGUUGAAAAAUUAGCGGAUGACUUGUGGCUGGGGGUGAAAGGCCAAUCAAACCGGGAGAUAGCUGGUUCUCCCCGAAAGCUAUUUAGGUAGCGCCUCGUGAAUUCAUCUCCGGGGGUAGAGCACUGUUUCGGCAAGGGGGUCAUCCCGACUUACCAACCCGAUGCAAACUGCGAAUACCGGAGAAUGUUAUCACGGGAGACACACGGCGGGUGCUAACGUCCGUCGUGAAGAGGGAAACAACCCAGACCGCCAGCUAAGGUCCCAAAGUCAUGGUUAAGUGGGAAACGAUGUGGGAAGGCCCAGACAGCCAGGAUGUUGGCUUAGAAGCAGCCAUCAUUUAAAGAAAGCGUAAUAGCUCACUGGUCGAGUCGGCCUGCGCGGAAGAUGUAACGGGGCUAAACCAUGCACCGAAGCUGCGGCAGCGACACUAUGUGUUGUUGGGUAGGGGAGCGUUCUGUAAGCCUGUGAAGGUGGCCUGUGAGGGUUGCUGGAGGUAUCAGAAGUGCGAAUGCUGACAUAAGUAACGAUAAAGCGGGUGAAAAGCCCGCUCGCCGGAAGACCAAGGGUUCCUGUCCAACGUUAAUCGGGGCAGGGUGAGUCGACCCCUAAGGCGAGGCCGAAAGGCGUAGUCGAUGGGAAACAGGUUAAUAUUCCUGUACUUGGUGUUACUGCGAAGGGGGGACGGAGAAGGCUAUGUUGGCCGGGCGACGGUUGUCCCGGUUUAAGCGUGUAGGCUGGUUUUCCAGGCAAAUCCGGAAAACCAAGGCUGAGGCGUGAUGACGAGGCACUACGGUGCUGAAGCGACAAAUGCCCUGCUUCCAGGAAAAGCCUCUAAGCAUCAGGUAACAUCAAAUCGUACCCCAAACCGACACAGGUGGUCAGGUAGAGAAUACCAAGGCGCUUGAGAGAACUCGGGUGAAGGAACUAGGCAAAAUGGUGCCGUAACUUCGGGAGAAGGCACGCUGAUAUGUAGGUGAAGCGACUUGCUCGUGGAGCUGAAAUCAGUCGAAGAUACCAGCUGGCUGCAACUGUUUAUUAAAAACACAGCACUGUGCAAACACGAAAGUGGACGUAUACGGUGUGACGCCUGCCCGGUGCCGGAAGGUUAAUUGAUGGGGUUAGCGGUAACGCGAAGCUCUUGAUCGAAGCCCCGGUAAACGGCGGCCGUAACUAUAACGGUCCUAAGGUAGCGAAAUUCCUUGUCGGGUAAGUUCCGACCUGCACGAAUGGCGUAAUGAUGGCCAGGCUGUCUCCACCCGAGACUCAGUGAAAUUGAACUCGCUGUGAAGAUGCAGUGUACCCGCGGCAAGACGGAAAGACCCCGUGAACCUUUACUAUAGCUUGACACUGAACAUUGAGCCUUGAUGUGUAGGAUAGGUGGGAGGCUUUGAAGUGUGGACGCCAGUCUGCAUGGAGCCGACCUUGAAAUACCACCCUUUAAUGUUUGAUGUUCUAACGUUGGCCCGUAAUCCGGGUUGCGGACAGUGUCUGGUGGGUAGUUUGACUGGGGCGGUCUCCUCCUAAAGAGUAACGGAGGAGCACGAAGGUUGGCUAAUCCUGGUCGGACAUCAGGAGGUUAGUGCAAUGGCAUAAGCCAGCUUGACUGCGAGCGUGACGGCGCGAGCAGGUGCGAAAGCAGGUCAUAGUGAUCCGGUGGUUCUGAAUGGAAGGGCCAUCGCUCAACGGAUAAAAGGUACUCCGGGGAUAACAGGCUGAUACCGCCCAAGAGUUCAUAUCGACGGCGGUGUUUGGCACCUCGAUGUCGGCUCAUCACAUCCUGGGGCUGAAGUAGGUCCCAAGGGUAUGGCUGUUCGCCAUUUAAAGUGGUACGCGAGCUGGGUUUAGAACGUCGUGAGACAGUUCGGUCCCUAUCUGCCGUG
rnacentral:rRNA from 1 species